rnacentral:rRNA from 1 species
CAGCCGUAAACUAUGCGCGUUAGGUGUAUCGGUGACCACGAGUUACCGAGGUGCCGAAGGGAAACCGUGAAACGUGCCGCCUGGGAAGUACGGUCGCAAGGCUGAAACUUAAAGGAAUUGGGCGGGGGAGCACCACAACAGGUGGAGCCUGCGGUUUAAUUGGAUUCAACGCCGGACAUCUCACCGGAUAAGACAGCUGAAUGAUUGUCAAUCUGAAGGUUUUACAUGACUAGCUGAGAGGAGGUGCAUGGCGUCAGUGACU